ACGAACGCUGGCGGCAUGCCUAACACAUGCAAGUCGAACGAGACCUUCGGGUCUAGUGGCGCACGGGUGCGUAACGCGUGGGAACCUGCCCUUAGGUUCGGAAUAACUCCCCGAAAGGGGUGCUAAUACCGGAUAAUGUCUUCGGACCAAAGAUUUAUCGCCUUUGGAUGGGCCCGCGUUGGAUUAGCUAGUUGGUAGGGUAAAAGCCUACCAAGGCGACGAUCCAUAGCUGGUCUGAGAGGAUGAUCAGCCACACUGGGACUGAGACACGGCCCAGACUCCUACGGGAGGCAGCAGUGGGGAAUAUUGGACAAUGGGCGAAAGCCUGAUCCAGCAAUGCCGCGUGAGUGAUGAAGGCCUUAGGGUUGUAAAGCUCUUUUACCCGGGAUGAUAAUGACAGUACCGGGAGAAUAAGCUCCGACUAACUCCGUG
rnacentral:rRNA from 1 species